GCCGGGGUAGCCAAGCUAGGUAAGGCGCCGGAUUUGAGAUCCGGUGGCCCUUUGGGCCUCAAGGGUUCGAAUCCCUUCCCCGGCGC
rnacentral:tRNA from 1 species